AUGACUCACAGUAGCACCUUGCAGGUGUUCGUUUAAACAAGCUGGCUGUUUGGCCUAACAUUUAAGAAAAAUUGCUAAAAGGAUUAUUGCAGCUUGAAGAAGCUCAUGCGAAACAAGGGUUCAGUACGACCUUGUCCUUGGAAACUUGGAUUGUUGGCUGCAUCUUUUGACAGACAUUAAACAUCUGGCGUACUACACCAGGAUUUCAUGGAAUGAGAUGGGAAGUUUUACCAUAGGAAGAAAAGAAGGACUCUUGGUGCUUAUGCUUCCUUUUUCAUUAAGGACUAAAAGUUAUGGUUGUUUUGUAAUUUAUGAUGGUGGAAUUUGUAUAUGAGUAUGUUUAAUUUUGUUGACCUUGUAUAAUUUAAUAAUAGAAGCUGGUUUUCAUGGUGGGUUA